UCCCUCUUAGCUCAGUUGGUAGAGCGCGUCACUAGUACGGUCUGUACGUAAUGACGAGGUCAGUCGUUCAAAUCGGCUAGCGGGAA